rnacentral:lncRNA from 1 species
CUUGGAUUAAAAGAUGUACGGUUAGGAUGAUGUGGAUCCCUUAGGGUUGAGUGGGUGGUUGCAUGAAUAGUAUAAUCAAACGGAUAAAAAUGAUAAAAGAGGUAAAUCUAGAAAAUAAAUUUUGCAGUUUUUCGUUAUCAUUUACCUAGUGAUCGAAAGGGUUUAAAAUCAACAAUAUUUAAUGGUUGGGUAUAUCGUAUG